rnacentral:rRNA from 1 species
GGGGAAUAUUGCACAAUGGGCGAAAGCCUGAUGCAGCAAUGCCGCGUGUGUGAAGAAGGCCUGCGGGCUGUAAAGCACUUUCAGUGGGGAGGAAACAGUUGCGGGUUAAUAUCCCGCGACCUUGACGUUACCC